AGAGUUUGAUCAUGGCUCAGAACGAACGCUGGCGGCAGGCUUAACACAUGCAAGUCGAACGCAUCCUUCGGGGUGAGUGGCAGACGGGUGAGUAACGCGUGGGAACGUGCCCUUCAGUUCGGAAUAACCCAGGGAAACUUGGGCUAAUACCGGAUACGUGCGAGAGCAGAAAGAUUUAUCGCUGAAGGAUCGGCCCGCGUCUGAUUAGCUAGUUGGUGGGGUAAUGGCCCACCAAGGCGACGAUCAGUAGCUGGUCUGAGAGGAUGAUCAGCCACAUUGGGACUGAGACACGGCCCAAACUCCUACGGGAGGCAGCAGUGGGGAAUAUUGGACAAUGGGCGCAAGCCUGAUCCAGCCAUGCCGCGUGAGUGAUGAAGGCCUUAGGGUUGUAAAGCUCUUUCGUCCGGGACGAUAAUGACGGUACCGGAAGAAGAAGCCCCGGCUAACUUCGUGCCAGCAGCCGCGGUAAUACGAAGGGGGCUAGCGUUGUUCGGAAUCACUGGGCGUAAAGGGCGCGUAGGCGGCUUGAUAAGUCGGGGGGUGAAAGCCUGUGGCUCAACCACAGAAUUGCCUUCGAUACUGUCUGGCUUGAGACCGGAAGAGGUAAGUGGAACUGCGAGUGUAGAGGUGAAAUUCGUAGAUAUUCGCAAGAACACCAGUGGCGAAGGCGGCUUACUGGUCCGGUUCUGACGCUGAGGCGCGAAAGCGUGGGGAGCAAACAGGAUUAGAUACCCUAGUAGUCC
rnacentral:rRNA from 1 species